rnacentral:misc_RNA from 1 species
GAUGAAGAACGUAGCGAAAUGCGAUAAGUAAUGUGAAUUGCAGAAUUCAGUGAAUCAUCGAAUCUUUGAACGCACCUUGCACCCUUUGGCAUUCUGAAGGGUAUGCUCGUUUGAGUGUCAUUGUACUCUCACACUCCCGAUCUUUGCAUUGGGAGCAGUGGACUUGGGUUUGCUGCUUCACCGUCGCUUACCUCAAAUAGGUUAGUGCAACUCUUGGUUGGACAUAGUACGGCGUGAUAAGUGUUCUUCGCCGGUGCCUCGCAAAGAGGGUGGCUGAUCGGGAUGUUGUGCUCCAAACCGUCUUCGGACAAUCUCUGACGACUUGACCUCAAAUCGAGUAAGACUACCCGCUGAACUUAAGCAUAUCAAUAAGCGGAGGA